rnacentral:rRNA from 1 species
GAGAGUUAAAUAGUACGUGAAAUUGUUGAAAGGGAAACGAUUGAAGUCAGUCAUGCUAGUGAAAAAUCAGUUUGACGGGUUUUGAGUUCGGGAGUAGAGGCAGGGUCAAACCGUUUCUCUUUUGGACUUGGGAUUUGUCGGAUGUACUUUUUCUUUGGCAGGUCAGCGUCGGUUUCGGAGGUUGCAAAAUACUUGGGGAAAAGUAGCUCUGCUUCGGGAGAGUAUUAUAGACCCUGGGGGAUGCAGCCUGUGGGACCGAGGAUUGCAGCAAAUGCCUUUGGCUUGUCGCCUGAUCUCUGGAUGUUACCUUCCUUGUGACAACAUUCUUGCCACCAGUGAGUACUGAUGCCCAUUAGGUUAGAACGAUCAAAAAUUUGCUAAGGAUGCUGACGUAAUGGCUUUAAACGA